UCAGAUGAACAACAAUAGUGAAAAGGCUUUAGGUACUUGAUGUGUCACAUGAGGUUAGAGGUUUUACAGUCUGCUGUAUAUCACAGUGGUGAUAUGUUUAGUUAUAGAACCCUAUGACAAUACUACCACAGAUAUACGUAUAUCUGUGCUGUGAUACUACAUUCCGUUCUCAAGUUAUGAAGGGUCGAUCGUUUUAAAAGCACCCAGUAUACGGUAACUGUAAUUGUAGCGCUUACAAUGAUAUUGAUAACGAUAGAUAUUGGAGUAAUCAGAUAAGGCUGUUGCGUAUGCCUAUAAAGGGUUUACUCAUAUCAAAUUUGAUUGUGUUGCUUGAUUUUUAUUACAAUGAAAUCUUUAAUCGUAGUGCUAGCCUUGUUUUCUACAUGUAAUGCAUUAUUUAAAUUCAAUGUACCAGCGGGAUUCAUAACAUCGUGGGAACGUACGAUAGAGCCUUUUAGGGCGGAAUGUUUAGCUAAAAGUGGGUUGGACCGAAAGGUGCUAUACGAUGCAUUGUUAACAAUGCAGUUUCCCGAAAGCCCCAAGUUUAAAUGUUUUGCAGAAUGUACUUGGACACAUUUAGGAUAUUACGACCUUAUCACGAAGCAAAUAAAUGCUGAAAAAAUUGGACAGGAAGUAAAAGGAUUCACAAAAGAAAUUGCGGAAAAGUGUUACAAUGAGCACAAGGCUGAUGGAAAUUCCUGUGAAAUCGUCUUCUCCAUCAUCAAAUGUGGCAUUGAGAAAAUGUAAAUUAUAACUCCGAGAAAAUCAGAUACUAUUACAAAUUAUAAAGUUUGUUAUGUAUUUCUCCUAAUCCUAUUCAAAAUAUAUGCUUUGUUACUUCUCAA